rnacentral:rRNA from 1 species
UGGGGGAUAUUGCACAAUGGGCGAAAGCCUGAUGCAGCGACGCCGCGUGGGGGAUGAAGGCCUUCGGGUUGUAAACUUCUUUUGCUCUGAACAAGGCAUGCUAAUGGGUGUGUUGAGUGUAGGGGUUGAUUAGCGCCGGCUAACUACGUGCCAGCAGCCGCGGUAAUACGUAGGGCGCGAGCGUUGUCCGGAAUUAUUGGGCGUAAAGGGCUUGUAGGUGGCUGGUUGCGUCUGUCGUGAAAGCUCAUGGCUUAACUGUGGGUUUGCGGUGGGUACGGGCUGGCUUGAGUGCAGUAGGGGAGGCUGGAAUUCCUGGUGUAGCGGUGGAAUGCGCAGAUAUCAGGAGGAAUACCGGUGGCGAAGGCGGGUCUCUGGGCUGUUACUGACACUGAGGAGCGAAAGCAUGGGGAUCGAACAGG